rnacentral:rRNA from 1 species
UACGUAGGGAGCAAGCGUUGUUCGGAUUUACUGGGCGUAAAGGGCGCGUAGGCGGCAAUUCAAGUCACUUGUGAAAUCUCCGGGCUUAACUCGGAACGGUCAAGUGAUACUGCUUUGCUAGAGUGCGGAAGGGGCAAUCGGAAUUCUCGGUGUAGCGGUGAAAUGCGUAGAUAUCGAGAGGAACACCUGAGGUGAAGACGGGUUGUUGGGCCGACACUGACGCUGACAGCGCGAAAGCCAGGGGAGCAAACGGG